rnacentral:rRNA from 1 species
GAUGAACGCUGACAGAAUGCUUAACACAUGCAAGUCAACUUGAAUUUGGGUUUUUAACUUAGGUUUGGGUGGCGGACGGGUGAGUAACGCGUAAAGAACUUGCCUCCCAGCUAGGGACAACAUUUGGAAACGAAUGCUAAUACCUAAUAUUAUGAUAAUAGGGUAUCCUAUAAUUAUGAAAGCUAUAAGCGCUGUGAGAGAGCUUUGCGUCCCAUUAGCUAGUUGGAGAGGUAACGGCUCACCAAGGCGAUGAUGGGUAGCCGGCCUGAGAGGGUGAUCGGCCACAAGGGGACUGAGACACGGCCCUUACUCCUACGGGAGGCAGCAGUGGGGAAUAUUGGACAAUGGACCGAGAGUCUGAUCCAGAAAUUCUGUGUGCACGAUGAAGUUUUUCGGAAUGUAAAGUGCUUUCAGUUGGGAAGAAACAAAUGACGGUACCAACAGAAGAAGUGACGGCUAAAUACGUG